AUCAAUUUUUCCCUCCUCUUUCAUGUCUUUUUCAGAAACAGCGAGAAAGGGAAGUUCAAUAUUUCGUCCCGACUAUCUAUGCGAAUUUGUGGAAUACAGAUAUGUCUUUUAGAGAAAUGGUUGCAAUGUGCUUGGUCAAAGACUUAAAAAAGAGGAAUCGUGCGAAAAAACUCUCUGCUGACUUACCUCCGUUGUGGAAUCGUGUCAAGGCAAAUUUGAGUCUUAAGGAUGCUGCAGAACUAGCUUUGAAGAAAAUGCCUUCAGCUGAAUAGGAAGCAUUGUCACAGGUGCAAGUUUGGAGAUUUUGUCUUGGAUCACUAACUUUGCAUCAUUUUUUUUUCGUUUUUAUUGUUCAGUUCUAUGUUUAGCUUCUUUGUUACAUGUGUUGUGCUGCUUUGGUUUCUUGCUCUUCACAUUAUCCUCAGCCUCCUCUUGCCUACUGCUACUGUUCCUUCAAAAAACAGGUAUUCGUUCUUUACCUCCUUUUUUUCUUUCUUAUUUUUUCUCCGGUGACAUGUUAUAGCUGUGAUAGUUGAUGUGAAACAUUUUUUCUGAUUCUCUUUUAUCCUGCAUGCUACUUCAUGUUUAUCCUACAGGGUGGUUUACAUGUCUUGCAUUUCAAUUUUUUCCUGCUUCCUAAGAUUUGGUGGAACUACAUAUAUGGGCAAACAUAGAGAAUGGAAAGAAAUGAACUUUAUCUGUGAUGCCUUCUUCAGAUGAAGAUGCGUCAGAAAAAUUCUGAAUUGAGAAGACAUGACUAUAGAGUUCCAGAAAGAAAACAAUAUCGCGCUAACCACAGUUUAAAUGAUAAAAUUAGUGAAACUGAUUCCUGUAUACAACAAGGGAAUAUGCUUAUUAUACACUAAGGGAAAAGUUGUUUUAAAUCUUGAUUCAGUUCACAAUAAGGGAAAGCUGCAGACA